GAUGAACGCUAGCGACAGGCUUAACACAUGCAAGUCGAGGGGCAGCAGGGGAGUAGCAAUACUCCCGCUGGCGACCGGCGCACGGGUGAGUAACACGUAUGCAACCUGCCCUUGUCAGGGGGAUAAGCGGAAGAAAUUCCGUCUAAUACCGCAUAAUGCUGCGGGGAGACAUCUCCCUGCAGCCAAAGAUUUAUCGGACAAGGAUGGGCAUGCGGCGCAUUAGCUUGUUGGCGGGGUAACGGCCCACCAAGGCGACGAUGCGUAGGGGUUCUGAGAGGAAGGUCCCCCACACUGGUACUGAGACACGGACCAGACUCCUACGGGAGGCAGCAGUGAGGAAUAUUGGUCAAUGGCCGGGAGGCUGAACCAGCCAAGUCGCGUGAGGGAAGACGGUCCUAUGGAUUGUAAACCUCUUUUGUCAGGGAGCAAAAACUGCCACGUGUGGCAGGAUGAGAGUACCUGAAGAAAAAGCAUCGGCUAACUCCGUGCCAGCAGCCGCGGUAAUACGGAGGAUGCGAGCGUUAUCCGGAUUUAUUGGGUUUAAAGGGUGCGUAGGCGGACAGUUAAGUCAGCGGUAAAAUUGAGAGGCUCAACCUCUUCCCGCCGUUGAAACUGAUUGUCUUGAGUGGGCGAGAAGUAUGCGGAAUGCGUGGUGUAGCGGUGAAAUGCAUAGAUAUCACGCAGAACUCCGAUUGCGAAGGCAGCAUACCGGCGCCCAACUGACGCUGAAGCACGAAAGCGUGGGUAUCGAACAGGAUUAGAUACCCUGGUAGUCCACGCAGUAAACGAUGAAUACUAAUUGUUCGGGUCAAAUGAGAUCUGAGUGAUACAGCGAAAGCGUUAAGUAUUCCACCUGGGGAGUACGCCGGCAACGGUGAAACUCAAAGGAAUUGACGGGGGCCCGCACAAGCGGAGGAACAUGUGGUUUAAUUCGAUGAUACGCGAGGAACCUUACCCGGGCUCAAACGACACAGGAAUGAUCUGAGAAAUCAGGCAGUCCUUCGGGACCUGUGUCGAGGUGCUGCAUGGUUGUCGUCAGCUCGUGCCGUGAGGUGUCGGCUUAAGUGCCAUAACGAGCGCAACCCCCAUCGACAGUUGCCAGCAGGUCAAGCUGGGCACUCUGUCGAGACUGCCGGCGCAAGCUGUGAGGAAGGCGGGGAUGACGUCAAAUCAGCACGGCCCUUACGUCCGGGGCGACACACGUGUUACAAUGGCAGGUACAGCGGGAAGCCACCUGGCGACAGGGAGCGGAACCCGAAAGCCUGUCUCAGUUCGGAUUGGAGUCUGCAACUCGACUCCAUGAAGCUGGAUUCGCUAGUAAUCGCGCAUCAGCCACGGCGCGGUGAAUACGUUCCCGGGCCU
rnacentral:rRNA from 1 species